CAUCCCCCCACUCGAUGAUCAUUGUUCAUACGUUCCUGUUGGACCGGACACUCCGUGCGACGUUCUAGAACGAUACGGAACUACGGAAGGCGUCUCACGUCUCACUCGUGCACGAUAAAAUUAACUGGCGAAGGAUCGAUUCGAAGAAAUCCUCAAGCAAACUAACUAUCGACAAGCACGAGUCGCAUACAGUGUCAUCGAUUGAGAUGGCAAUGGAUGCAGAUGGACAGAAAAAGAGGGAUAAAAAGAAAAGGGAAGGAAAAGGAUAGAGAAAGAGAAAAAAAAGUUGCUAUAAUACAGAUGCAGACCUUACCUCAGGAUUUAUCCUCGCAUAUUUUGGUUCUUUGUAAGUCUACCAGUCAUCAAUUUAGUUUGUAUAUGGUAUUGAAACCAAAGCACUUUGACUUACUUGGAGCUUGUCUAGUAGUAGAUAUAUAUUUAAAGUACAAAAUACUCUUACAGAAAACAAAAAAAUUUUUACAUUCAGAAAUAUUUUUAAACUUUUUAUAAAUUUGUAAGAAAUAUAUAAGUACAUUGUAAGACAUUCGCAUUGUGAUAAUAAUUUUAUCAAUAUUUCUAGACUUUAGCUUUUCUUGAUCCUGAACAGUAUAACUAGGCAAAAGAAAUCAAUCAGUAAUUGACAGAAAAUUGUAAGACUAAUACAUUUUUUGUUUAUCAACAUAUUAAUUGAUUGCAAAAUUCAUGUAUUAUGUACAACAUUGCGAGACUUCAUAUAUGUACACAUUUUCCUCAUACAUUUCUAAAAUGUUUUAUGCUGUUUAGGAUUGAUAUAAUGAAACCGAAGGAUCUCACAAUUAUAAUAUACCAAGAAUGUGAUAUUAUUAAUUUUUACCGAAUUUACUUGUAAGUAAUAAAAAACUGUGAUGCAGAUAAGAGGAGGAAGUUGCCGAGAGUGUAAAAUAAAUACAUUUUGUAAAUAAUAAAGUAAAACUAUUUUUUAUUAACUUUUCUUAAUUACCAAAUGUUAUUAAUCCAACAAUCCUUUUCAGUAUGGCACACACAUAACAUCCUAGAAAAUACCUCUCAUUGCGAGCAGGGGAUAUUGGCUGUUCACAUAAAGACGACGUCGUCGUCGGCAGCGGCGGCUUAGAAAAUAGACUGGUUCAACAAACUCGGCGCACAAGCGAAAUUGUCUCCUAGUCACCGUGAUAAUGAUCUCGUCUGCGUGAUAACUACGACAAUUAGAUAUGACAUUCAUCUGGAGAGCUCCCAUUCCCCUGAAUCAAUCGUACGUUUCCCUAGAUCCAGAAUUCGAUUUUCAAUGAAUAACAUAGGAUAAUGGUCCUCAGAUGUGGAAACACAGUUGCAUUAAUCCGAAGAUUGCAAGUAUAUUUCAAGUAAGAUAACUCGCAAGCAUGCAAACCAAUUUAUUCAUUUGAGAGAAUUAUCCAAAGUUUUUUUCUAUUUGGUAUGUGAAAUGCGCUUGUCUGGUAUUGCUAUAAUAAUAUAUUCAUAGAUCUGCGUCAUCUUGGUCAUAUUGAGACUAUACCAGGAUGCCAAUAUAUAUGUAUGUGUAUAUUUUAAAGUUUUAGACAUUCGAAAAAUGUAAGAACGAUUACACAAUAAAUUCCACAGACUUUUAUCGAGUGAAGGACACAUGAAUGUGUUGAUAUAAAAGAAAGUAUAUGCGUAAGACAUACAAUUAAUAGAAUAAAA